CCCGGGACCCCACGGGCCCCGCCGCUCCCUCAGCGCCGCCGCCCGCCCCGCGGGGCGCCCCCUGGCGGACACGGCGCCGCCCCUCAGCCCUGCGGGAACACCGAGCUCCCCUCACGGCCCGGCAGCACCGCGGGCACCGCGCUCCUCUGUACCGGGACACCGCACUCCCUUGUGAGAGCCACAGCGUCCGCAUCCCCGGGGGAUCCCCGCCAAACGACCGGGGCUGUAGCGCUGGGGCCGCUGCUCCCGCUCCGGCAGUGCCCGGUGUGGGCCUGGACGAGGCCAGAAGCCCCCACAAGGGCUGGCAGCCCUCACGUCCUUGGCAUCUGCAGGGAGGAGCUGUGCAGGCAGCUGAGUGCCAAACACACGUCCUGGCACGGGCACCGGGGUACCGGGACAGUGCUGGCAUAGACACGGCUAAAGGGCUGCCUAUGUCCCUUCAGCCCGGACAGACGCCACCGACAGCACAGAAGGACCCCAAGGAGCAGCUAGCGUUACCUGGAAUGGAGGCACGGGCCGUUUGCAGAGGGCCUCAGACAGCAGGUCCCGUUUCUGACCUCCCAGAGCUCCCACACAGCACCAGAUAUUGAAUCCCAAGCAAUAUACCUUGGAGGUGCCGUAAAAUCAGAGGUUCGAGUGGGAUGAAGUUUGGAACUUUCCAGGGAGCCAGCUGGAAGUGCAGAAGUGAAGGAAAACUUUUGCAGUGAGAAGAACAUGAACUCACAGCCACCGAGGCCUGACAGGUUCCUGCAGUGAGAGCUCAGCGCACAUCCACAGGGGAGUUUUCCUCCUGAGAAGCUGAGAGGCCCCAGGAACAAAACAUAACCAUUGAUUAUCUGCUG